GACGAACGCUGGCGGCGUGCUUAACACAUGCAAGUCGAGCGGAGCGGCGAAAGGGUGAGUAACGCGUGAGUAACUUCCCCCCUCUCUGGGAUAACAGUUGGAAACGCCUGCUAAUACCGGAUAGAGGGGGAUGACUCGCGUCCUAUCGGCUUGUUGGGGGGGUAGUGGCCUCCCAAGGCGACGACGGGUAGCCGGCCUGAGAGGGCGACAGGCCACAUGGGGCUGAGGUACGUCCCAAACUCCUACGGGGGGCAGCAGUGGGGAAUAUUGCACAAGGGUGGAAACCCUGAUGCAGAAGCGCCGCGUGCGGAAUGACGGCCUUCGGGUUGUAAACCGCUUUCAGCCAUGACGCGGUAGUGGCAGAAGAAGCACCGGCUAACUACGUGCCAGCAGCCGCGGUAAUAC
rnacentral:rRNA from 1 species